CAGCAGCCGCGGUAAUACGUAGGGUGCAAGCGUUAAUCGGAAUUACUGGGCGUAAAGCGUGCGCAGGCGGUUCGGAAAGAAAGGUGUGAAAUCCCAGGGCUUAACCUUGGAACUGCACUUUUAACUACCGGGCUAGAGURCGUCAGAGGGGGGURGAAUUCCACGUGUAGCAGUGAAAUGCGUAGAKAUGYGGAGGAAYACCGAUGGCGAAGGCAGCCYCCUGGGAURAYACUGACGCUCAUGCACGAAAGCGUGGGGAGCAAACAGGAUUAGAUACCCUGGUAGUCCACGCCCUAAACGAUGUCAACUAGCUGUUGGGGUUUAUUAACCUUAGUAGCGCAGCUAACGCGUGAAGUUGACCGCCUGGGGAGUACGGUCGCAAGAUUAAAACUCAAAGGAAUUGAC
rnacentral:rRNA from 1 species